UCCAAAGCGUAAACGCAGAAACCAUUCGAACCUCAGAAGCUAACUUCAUGAGCCAUUCGAACCUCAACAUUCUCAAACCCUCAACCCAUUCGAACCUCAGAACCCAUUCGAAAACCCUUAACCCUUUUAUUGUGUUCUUCUCUUCCCAAUCUCACCACCUGAAAACAACAGUAGUGAAUUGGUAAUAGCACUCAACAAGAUUAAGGUGUCUUUGAAACAGUUCAAUCUAUAAGGAGUGAUUUCAUAAGCCUUUAGUAAAAUUUGCAGUUUUUAUUCCAUACAUCAACUCCACCUUCUCUUCUAAUUGGGGUAUUUGUUGUUGGUUCAGAGAAAGGACUCUUAAAA